GACGAACGCUGGCGGCGUGUUUAACACAUGCAAGUCGAACGGUAAGGCCCUUCGGGGUACACGAGUGGCGAACGGGUGAGUAACACGUGGGUGAUCUGCCCUGCACUUCGGGAUAAGCCUGGGAAACUGGGUCUAAUACCGGAUAGGACCACUGCCUGCAUGGGUGGUGGUGGAAAGCUUUUGCGGUGUGGGGUGGGCCCGCGGCCUAUCAGCUUGUUGGUGGGGUGAUGGCCUACCAAGGCGACGACGGGUAGCCGGCCUGAGAGGGUGACCGGCCACACUGGGACUGAGAUACGGCCCAGACUCCUACGGGAGGCAGCAGUGGGGAAUAUUGCACAAUGGGCGCAAGCCUGAUGCAGCGACGCCGCGUGAGGGAUGACGGCCUUCGGGUUGUAAACCUCUUUCAGCACCGACGAAGCGCAAGUGACGGUAGGUGCAGAAGAAGGACCGGCCAACUACGUGCCAGCCGCCGCAGUAA
rnacentral:rRNA from 1 species